AUUGAACGCUGGCGGCAGGCCUAACACAUGCAAGUCGAACGAGUGGCGGACGGGAGAGUAAUGUCUGGGAAACUGCCCGAUGGAGGGGGAUAACUACUGGAAACGGUAGCUAAUACCGCAUACAAUCGGAUGUGCCCAGAUGGGAUUAGCUAGUAGGUGUGGUAACUGCUCACCUAGGCGACGAUCCCUAGCUGGUCUGAGAGGAUGACCAGCCACACUGGAACUGUGACACGGUCCAGAUUCCUACGGGCGGCAGCACUUGGGAAUCUUGCACAAUUGGCGCAAGCCUGAUGCAGCCAUGCCGCGUGUAUGACGAAGGCCUUCGUGUUGUAAAGUACUUUCAGCGAGGAGGCUUUACUCGCAGAAGAAGCACCGGCUAGCUCCGUGCCAGCGGCCGCGGUAAUAC
rnacentral:rRNA from 1 species